UCAAAGAUUAAGCCAUGCAAGUGAAAGUAUAUGCAUAUUUUAUAUGUAGAAACUGCGAACGGCUCAUUAAAACAGUUAUAAUCUACUUGACAUUUUUUCUAUAAGGAUAACUACGGAAAAGCUGUAGCUAAUACUUGCUUUAGCACUCUUGAAUUAAGUUCUUGAGUGUGUACUUGUUAAGCCUUUUAAGAAAAAAGUUAUUAACUUAAGGAAUUAUAACAAAGAAGCAACACGUAAAUGGAUUUUCCAUUUUUUAGUGUGUAUCAAUCGAGUUUCUGACCUAUCAGCUUUUGAUGUUAGGGUAUUGGCCUAACAUGGCUAUGACGGGUAACGGGGAAUUAGAGUUCGAUUCCGGAGAGGGAGCCUGAGAAAUAGCUACCACAUCUAAGGAAGGCAGCAGGCGCGUAAAUUACCCAAUUCUAAAGAAGAGAGGUAGUGACAAGAAAUAACAAUACAAGGCCAAUCUGGCUUUGUAAUUGGAAUGAUGGGAAUUUAAAACCUUCCCAAAACUCAAUUGGAGGGCAAGUCUGGUGCCAGCAGCCGCGGUAAUUCCAGCUCCAAUAGCGUAUAUUAAAAUUGUUGCAGUUAAAACGCUCGUAGUUGAAUUUCAAAGAAUCGAUAUUUUAAGUAGCACUUUGUAGAUUAAUCCACAUAACUGAUACUACGUAUCGACUUUGUGAGCAUUUUUCUACUUAUGUGUGCUUUUAAUUAAAAUGAUUCUUUUUAAGAUCUUUCUUUUUUGCUUCGGCAUUUUAGGAGAUCUUGUUACUUUGAGUAAAUUAGAGUGUUCAAAGCAAACAGAUUAUAGCAUCUUUAUGCGUUUGAAUACUAUAGCAUGGAAUAACAAAAUUGAACAAGUCAGAAUUUUGUUCUUUUUUCUUAUUUUGGCUUAGUUACGAUUAAUAGGAGUAGCUUGGGGGCAUUUGUAUUCAGAUGUCAGAGGUGAAAUUCUUAGAUUUUCUGGAGACAAACAACUGCGAAAGCAUUUGCCUAAAAUACUUCCAUUAAUCAAGAACGAAAGUUAAGGGAGUGAAGACGAUCAGAUACCGUCGUAAUCUUAACCAUAAACUAUGCCGACUAGGCUUUGGAUGAAAGAUUUUAAAAUAAGAGUUUUUUCUCUGAGGAGUUAAAACUCUUAGAUUGCUUCCUUCAGUGCCUUAUGAGAAAUCAAAGUCUUUGGGUUCUGGGGCGAGUAUUCGCGCAAGCGAGAAAGUUAAAAGAAUUGACGGAAGGGCACCACCAGGCGUGGAGCUUGCGGCUUAAUUUGACUCAACACGGGAAAACUCACUAGUUUAAGACAAGAGUAGGAUUGACAGAUUAAUAGCUCUUUCUUGAUUUCUUGGAUGGUGAUGCAUGGCCGUUUUUAGUUCGUGAAUAUGAUUUGUCUGGUUAAUUCCGAUAACGAACGAGAUCUUAACCUGCUAAUUAGCGGCAAAUACGAUAUAUUCUUAUGUGGAAUUGAAUAUAGUUGAUUUGCUUAUUUUGAAGAAAAUAUUGGGAUACGUAAUGUAUCCCUUUCCCUUUUCUACUUAAUUUGCUUAUCAUACUAUUUCUUUUUUGCGUAAGAAUGUAUUUGCUUGAUUGUAAAGCUUCUUAGAGGAACGAUGUGUGUCUAACACAAGGGAGUUUAAGGCAACAACAGG
rnacentral:rRNA from 1 species